rnacentral:rRNA from 1 species
UACGUACGAGGCGAGCGUUAUCCGGAAUUAUUGGGCGUAAAGAGCGCGCAGGCGGUCGUUCAAGUCGAGUGUGAAAGCCCCCGGCUCAACUGGGGAGGGUCAUUCGAUACUGAUCGACUCGAAGGCAGGAGAGGGAAGUGGAAUUCCCGGUGUAGUGGUGAAAUGCGUAGAUAUCGGGAGGAACACCAGUGGCGAAGGCGACUUCCUGGCCUGUUCUUGACGCUGAGGCGCGAAAGCUAGGGGAGCAAACGGG